CAUGUAGGCGGCUCGUCAAGUCUGAUGUGAAAGCCCCGGGCUCAACCCGGGAAGUGCAUUGGAAACUGGCGAACUUGAGUACGGGAGAGGAAAGUGGAAUUUCGAGUGUAGGGGUGAAAUCCGUAGAUAUUCGAAGGAACACCAGUGGCGAAGGCGGCUUUCUGGACCGAUACUGACGCUGAGAUGCGAAAGCGUGGGGAGCAAACA
rnacentral:rRNA from 1 species